UUCUGUUUUCUCCUUGCUAAAAUAGAAGUGAUUUGCAGGCUUUCCCUAUGGAAUCCAGUUUGACUCUCCCCAGAGCUAAACACAAGCACACUAACCCCAAUGGGAGGAGGCGGGGCCCGCGCCCCGUGGCCCCGCCCUCCUUUGCAAACGUCAUCCUUCCGCCUCGCCUCGGCCAAUCGCAGCCCAGGAGCCUCCUGGCUCUCGGCGCCAGGCCACGCUCCCUCAUUAACAUCCUUCUCCCGGUGGCGCAGGAACGCCGGCCAAAGUAACUCGCUAAGUGGCGAGUGAGGGAGCGCGGAGCACUGACGGCUGAGCUCGGGCGGAGAGAGAGGAGAGAGAGAGGGGCCGAGCCGGGCGGGAAAGGGACGGAGGGAAGGGGGGCGGUAUCCCUCCCCGGGAUCUGAGCUGGAGAUCUGCACCCCGGCUAUGGCUGUCCUUUAGCGUUCUUGCUGCGCCCUCAAGGCGCACAGGCUUUGUCGUCCCAGGGCUGAUGCCACGUCCGGCUCCGUCGUCCUGGGACGCCGGGGCAAAAGUGGAGGAGACGGGAGAGCCCAGGCAGAAAAUCAGGACGCGCGUCCCAGGAAAAGAGGGAGGGAGAGAAGAGAAGGAAGAAGGAUGGGAAAGAGGAAGUGAAAGGAAGGGAAAAGAGUAAAGGAAGAAAGGAAAGAAAAAACUGUCUUCUACCCCAGGCCUUUUGGCAUGUAUACUUGUGGCUGGCAAAGGAAAUAGCUAGAUUUUUCUGGUAAUGUGCCCCAUCAUUUUUUUUAGCAGGUUAUAACCUCUAAUAAGCACGCGGUGAACUUCUGUUUCAUUGUCCUCAAAGGAACUCCCUGACUGCAGCCAAAUCUGCUAAGGACCCCUUUGGGGAAAUGCUCUGAGAAAUCCAGGUCCCUUUCUCUGGCUGUCAUUGGCCGUUUGAUUUAGGAAGGUCCUGGAGUCAGUGAUGGAAAAGUACACGUGCCCAUACGGAAUGGUAGAAGACAGGGAAGAGUCAGGCUUCCUGUUCCUGGCAGAGCAGGAAAGUAGAGCCACUUCCUGAUUCCUGAACUGGAUGGAAGAAAGCGUGUGUUCCAGGCCUACAGGACCCAGUGUCCUCAAAGCUUGCUUCACCCAGCUCUCAUACCGUUUAUUCUUCAUCUCUUGUGCUGAGGACUCUCUCCCUGGUGCCAGAAUUAAUGCCAUCUCCUCCAAGAAGCCCCUGAAGAAAUUGGUCUGAUUCUUCAGGUUCCCCAUAGCCUCUACCAGAAUUCCUGGUAUACACCAGGCACUCAGGAGAUCUAUGAGGGUGGAGAGACUAGAAGGGCUGUAGGCUUGUGGGGAAAGGGAAGAAAAUGUAGAGCUUUAUCGAAUUUAAAGGCACAAUUGAACUAGGCCUGCUAAAGGCUUCCCAAAGCUCCAAGUUUACCCUAAAGCCCCACGGCCAAGGACUCUCCAGAGAUAAUUCCCUUCCGAAGAGGGCACCCUUCAAGUGAGAAGACCUGGAAGCAGGGGCCACUUUCCCACCACUGAGUCCCAGAGAGCCUCAGCGUAAGAUGCAAGCCUUCCUCUCAUCAACCACUUCAGGCUCCAUUCUACUUUGCAGUCAACAGUCUGCAGGACUCCAAGUGGAUGUGGUGGGGGACAGCUCCACUCCUGAGAAACACACAGUGAGGGAACAGAUUCUGCAGAAGGUACCAAAGAAAGGAGACACAGCUGCUGGAAGGAGCAGAAUGACCAGGGGACACACAACAAAUAUCUGGGGGCCAAGCAGAAUCUAGAUACAUAUGCAAAGGGUGUAUUUGUUGAGGCACCUGAAGCUGACUAUCCCAAGUGAGAGA